AUGGCGGAAAAGGGCGAUGGGCCUGCGAUCGGCAUUGACCUUGGCACGACGUACUCGUGCGUCGGCGUGUGGCAGCAUCAGAGAGUAGAAAUCAUUCCCAAUGACCAGGGCAACCGCACCACGCCGUCGUACGUGUCGUUCAGCGACUCCGAGCGCCUCAUCGGCGACGCCGCCAAGAACCAGGUGGUCAUGAACCCCAUCAACACCGUCUUCGAUGCCAAGCGUCUCAUUGGCCGGAGAUUUAGCGAUUCUACUGUCCAGAGUGAUAUUAAGCUGUGGUCCUUCAAGGUUGUUGCUGGGCCUGGUGACAAGCCCAUGAUUAAUGUCUGGUACAAAGGUGCGGAGAAGCAGUUUGCAGCGGAAGAGAUAUCUUCUAUGGUCCUCGUCAAGGUGCGUGAGAUUGCUGAAGCUUUCCUUGGCAGCACUGUGAAGAAUGCUGUUGUCACUGUACCUGCAUACUUCAAUGACUCACAGAGGCAGGCUACCAAGGAUGCUGGUGUCAUUGCUGGCAUCAAUGUCCUUCGUAUCAUCAAUGAGCCAACAGCUGCUGCCAUUGCUUAUAGUCUUGACAAGGAGGCCUCCAGUGGUGGUGCGAAGAAUGUCCUCGUCUUUGACCUUGGAGGUGGUACCUUUGAUGUCUCUCUUCUCACCAUUGAUAAGGGUAUAUUUGAGGUUAAGGCCACAGCGGGUGACACACAUCUUGGUGGCGAGGACUUCGACAACAGGAUGGUCAACCACUUCGUCCAGGAGUUAAAGAGGAAGAACAAGGACUUACAUGCCAACCCGAAAGCUCUUUGGAGACUGAGGACAUCCUGUGAGAGGGCAAAGAGGAUUCUCUCCUCUACUGUGCAGACCACCAUUGAGAUUGACUCGCUGUUUGAGGGCACUGACUUCCACUGCACCAUCACCCGGGCCAGGUUUGAGGAGAUGAACAUGGAUCUGUUCAGGAAGUGUAUGGAGCUUGUGGCAAAGUGUAUCAGGGAUGCAAAGAUGGACAAGAGCACCGUGCAUGAUGUUGUGAUCGUUGGUGGCUCCACUAGGAUUCCCAAAGUGCAGCAGCUUCUCCAGGACUUCUUCAAUGGCAAGGAGCUCUGCAAGAGGAUCAACCCUGAUGAGGCUGUUGCCUACGGGGCUGCUGUCCAGGCUGCCAUCGUGAGCGGAGAAGAGAACGAGAAGGUCCAGGACCUGCUGGAUGUCACUCCUCUUUCUCUUGGUCUGGAGACAGCCAGGGGUGUGAUGACAGUCUUGAUCCCAAGGAACACCACCAUCCCCACCAAGAAGGAGCAGGUCUUCUCCACAUACUCGGACGACCAGCCUGGUGUGCACAUCCAGGUGUAUGAGGGUGAGAGGACCAGGACCCGGGACAACAACCUUCUUGGCAAGUUCAAGUUGUUGGGCAUCCCUCCUGCACCCAUGGGAGUUCCCCAGAUCACGGUCUGCUUUGACAUUGAUGCCAAUGGUAUCCUGAGUGUGUCUGCCGAGGACAAGGCCACUGGGCAGAAGGACAAGAUCACCAUCACCAAAAAGGGCAGGUUGAGCAAGGAGGAGAUCGAGAAGAUGGUACAGGAGGCUGAGAUGUACAAGUCGGAGGAUGAGGAGCACAAGAAGAAGGUGGAGCCCAAGAUCGCCCUGGAGAACUACACGUACAGCAUGCGCCACAUCAUCAAGGACGAGAAGAUAGCCUCUGAGCUGCAGGCGGAUGACAAGAAGAAGAUCGUUGAAGCAAUUGAUGAUGUCAUCGAGUGGCUGUGCACGAACAAGCUCGCUAAUGCUGACGACUUCGAGGAGAAGAUGAAGAUGCUGGAGGCCGUGUGCAACCCCAUCAUCGGUAAGAUGUACCAGGGUGCUGGUGCCAAUGGACGAUGA
rnacentral:rRNA from 1 species